GGGUUGUGAGGUUAAGCGACUAAGCGUACACGGUGGAUGCCCUGGCAGUCAGAGGCGAUGAAGGACGUGCUAAUCUGCGAUAAGCGCCGGUAAGGUGAUAUGAACCGUUAUAACCGGCGAUUUCCGAAUGGGGAAACCCAGUGUGAUUCGUCACACUAUCAUUAACUGAAUCCAUAGGUUAAUGAGGCGAACCGGGGGAACUGAAACAUCUAAGUACCCCGAGGAAAAGAAAUCAACCGAGAUUCCCCCAGUAGCGGCGAGCGAACGGGGAGGAGCCCAGAGCCUGAAUCAGCAUGUGUGUUAGUGGAAGCGUCUGGAAAGGCGCGCGAUACAGGGUGACAGCCCCGUACACAAAAGCGCAUGUGCUGUGAGCUCGAUGAGUAGGGCGGGACACGUGGUAUCCUGUCUGAAUAUGGGGGGACCAUCCUCCAAGGCUAAAUACUCCUGACUGACCGAUAGUGAACCAGUACCGUGAGGGAAAGGCGAAAAGAACCCCGGCGAGGGGAGUGAAAAAGAACCUGAAACCGUGUACGUACAAGCAGUGGGAGCACAGGUUUACCUGUGUGACUGCGUACCUUUUGUAUAAUGGGUCAGCGACUUAUAUUCUGUAGCAAGGUUAACCGUAUAGGGGAGCCGGAGGGAAACCGAGUCUUAACCGGGCGUUAAGUUGCAGGGUAUAGACCCGAAACCCGGUGAUCUAGCCAUGGGCAGGUUGAAGGUUGGGUAACACUAACUGGAGGACCGAACCGACUAAUGUUGAAAAAUUAGCGGAUGACCUGUGGCUGGGGGUGAAAGGCCAAUCAAACCGGGAGAUAGCUGGUUCUCCCCGAAAGCUAUUUAGGUAGCGCCUCGUGAAUUCAUCUCCGGGGGUAGAGCACUGUUUCGGCUAGGGGGCCAUCCCGGCUUACCAACCCGAUGCAAACUGCGAAUACCGGAGAAUGUUAUCACGGGAGACACACGGCGGGUGCUAACGUCCGUCGUGAAGAGGGAAACAACCCAGACCGCCAGCUAAGGUCCCAAAGUCAUGGUUAAGUGGGAAACGAUGUGGGAAGGCCCAGACAGCCAGGAUGUUGGCUUAGAAGCAGCCAUCAUUUAAAGAAAGCGUAAUAGCUCACUGGUCGAGUCGGCCUGCGCGGAAGAUGUAACGGGGCUAAACCAUGCACCGAAGCUGCGGCAGCGACACUCAGGUGUUGUUGGGUAGGGGAGCGUUCUGUAAGCCUGUGAAGGUGGCCUGUGAGGGUUGCUGGAGGUAUCAGAAGUGCGAAUGCUGACAUAAGUAACGAUAAAGCGGGUGAAAAGCCCGCUCGCCGGAAGACCAAGGGUUCCUGUCCAACGUUAAUCGGGGCAGGGUGAGUCGACCCCUAAGGCGAGGCCGAAAGGCGUAGUCGAUGGGAAACGGGUUAAUAUUCCCGUACUUGGUGUUACUGCGAAGGGGGGACGGAGAAGGCUAU
rnacentral:rRNA from 1 species